rnacentral:hammerhead_ribozyme from 1 species
AAGCGAAACGGGGGCCUUCCCCCGUCUGCCUGGCGUGGUAGCCAGGCACUGAUGAGCAGCCGACC